GGGUCAGUAGGUUGGUCGUGCCACCGGUACGUACUGGUCUCACUGAUUCCUCCUUCCUGAAGAACCGUAAUGCCAUUAAUUUGGUGUUGCGGGGAAACAGGACUGUUACUUUGAAGAGAUUAGAGUGUUUAAAGCAAGCUAACGCUUGAAUACAUUAGCAUGGAAUAAUGAAAUAGGACGAUCGAUCCUAUUUUGUUGGUUUCUAGGAUUGACGUA
rnacentral:rRNA from 1 species